rnacentral:rRNA from 1 species
CCUACGGGAGGCAGCAGUGGGGAAUCUUGCACAAUGGAGGAAACUCUGAUGCAGCGAUGCCGCGUGAGUGAAGAAGGCCUUUGGGUUGUAAAGCUCUUUUGUAGGGGAAGAUAAUGACUGUACCCUAAGAAUAAGGUCCGGCUAACUUCGUGCCAGCAGCCGCGGUAAUACGAAGGGACCUAGCGUAGUUCGGAAUUACUGGGCGUAAAGCGCGCGUAGGCCGUUGAGUUAGUUAAUUGUGAAAUCCCAAAGCUUAACUUUGGAACUGCAAUUAAAACUGCUCGACUAGAGUUUGAUAGAGGAAAGCGGAAUACAUAGUGUAGAGGUGAAAUUCGUAGAUAUUAUGUAGAACACCAGUUGCGAAGGCGGCUUUCUGGAUCAACACUGACGCUGAGGCGCGAAAGUAUGGGUAGCAAAGAGGAUUAGAUACCCUCGUAGUCCAUACCAUAAACGAUGAUUGCUAGAUGUUGGAAAUUUAUUUUCAGUAUCGCAGCUAACGCAUUAAGCAAUCCGCCUGGGGAGUACGACCGCAAGGUUAAAACUUAAGAUAUGCGNGNGAGAGCGACGACGACGACGAGAGGAGAG